rfam:Drosophila grimshawi strain TSC#15287-2541.00 scaffold_15126 genomic scaffold, whole genome shotgun sequence.
GUGGGCUAUGGCGAUGUUGCUCCCAAGACCUAUCCGGGCAUGUUUGUGGGCGCACUGUGCGCCCUCGCUGGUGUCCUGACCAUCGCACUCCCCGUACCUGUUAUCGUUAGUAAU